UGGGGAAUAUUGGACAAUGGGGGCAACCCUGAUCCAGCCAUGCCGCGUGAGUGAUGAAGGCCCUAGGGUUGUAAAGCUCUUUUGUACGGGAAGAUAAUGACGGUACCGUAAGAAUAAGUCCCGGCUAACUUCGUGCCAGCAGCCGCGGUAAUACGAAGGGGGCUAGCGUUGCUCGGAAUCACUGGGCGUAAAGGGUGCGUAGGCGGGUUUUUAAGUCAGAGGUGAAAUCCUGGAGCUCAACUCCAGAACUGCCUUUGAUACUGGGAAUCUUGAGUAUGGAAGAGGUGAGUGGAACUGCGAGUGUAGAGGUGAAAUUCGUAGAUAUUCGCAAGAACACCAGUGACGAAGGCGGCUCACUGGUCCAUAACUGACGCUGAGGCACGAAAGCGUGGGGAGCAAAC
rnacentral:rRNA from 1 species